AAACACAGUGCUGAAGAGAGAACAAGCUUCCUAAACCAGCCUUCCUGACUUCACCUAGGAGCCUCCCAGGCAUAACUGACCUCUGGCUAGGUGAUACCUGCACCAAAAUGAGACCACGAGAGGCAACACAUGCUACAGGGAGAAAAAAGGUAUGAGAUGGAAUCCACAGGAGACAGCAGUGGAUAGGACAAAACAAACUAGCUAUUCCCUUACACUACAAAAGGAGAAAAAAAAAUCAUUUUACUCUGCUAUUUACCUGUGUGUGUGGCCUGAGCAAGAACACAAAUAAAUGAAAGUGCGUAUCCUGGAA